rnacentral:rRNA from 1 species
AGUCACUGACAUUAGAUACCCCGGUAGUCCAGGGUGUAAACGCUGCAGACUUGGUGUUGGGAACCCUUCGGGGGUGCUCAGUGCCGGAGAGAAGUUGUUAAGUCUGCUACUUGGGGAGUACGUCCGCAAAGGAUGAAACUUAAAGGAAUUGGCGGGGGAGCACCGCAACGGGAGGAGCGUGCGGUUUAAUUGGAUUCAACGCCGAAAAACUCACCAGCAGCGACUGUUACAUGAAAGUCAGGUUGAUGACCUUACUAGAUUUUCAG